rnacentral:rRNA from 1 species
UACGUAGGGUCCGAGCGUUGUCCGGAAUUAUUGGGCGUAAAGGGCUCGUAGGCGGUUUGUCGCGUCGGGAGUGAAACACCGGGCUUAACUCGGUGCUUGCUUUCGAUACGGGCAGACUGGUAGGUAUGCAGGGGAGAACGGAAUUCCUGGUGUAGCGGUGAAAUGCGCAGAUAUCAGGAGGAACACCGGUGGCGAAGGCGGUUCUCUGGGCAUUACCUGACGCUGAGGAGCGAAAGUGUGGGGAGCGAACAGG